GUGCAUAUACAGUUAUGACUAAGGAUAUACUUAUACCCAUGUAACUAACUGUUUAUAAUUGCAUGCAUGAGCGAAGGUGUUACGUAUAGACAAUAAUUCUCACUGAAACAAAUGUUUGUUUGUUUUCUGCACUGCGUGUUGUUUGAGGCACUUUUUGAGACGCUUUAUUAUUACUAUUAGCAUUAAACUAAAAUAAUUUUAUUUUUAAAAAACUAUUUAACUACAUAGCUAUCUAGCCAAAAGGCGUCAUUUAACCCCUCACUCGUAUUCCAACUCCCGCCUCCUUCCUUACGAUUGGCUAGUAUUUAAUGCUGGGUCACGUGUCUAGACGAUUAACCAAUCCUAACUAAAAAGCAAUGGUUCUCCCAGCCAAUCAUAGCGGAGGAGGCGGGACUUACACGAAUACGGAUGGGAAAAGAAAACUUGCCUAAUAACCACCAGUCUGAAACGGCAAUUAGCAUAGCUCGGCUAGGGAAUUUAGCUUCCUGCUCCGCUAGUCAUAUGAUUUAGAAUAUGCCGUCUACACAAACAGUAAUUCGUGUAUCUUCCUAUUCAGUCAGUACUCACAGGACGGUCAUGUAUUCAUUACCCAGGCCCUGUUUAAUGAUGAACUGGUGCUAAUGGAGUAGAACUCAAAGCUUUGGAUGUUUGCAGAGAGUACAGAUGAGAGCUGGACAGGCUGAAGGACUAAAGCGCUGCUGCAUCACUGUCCUCAGCAGGUCGUUGAAGCACCAUCAGCAAGUAGUCAGAUGGCAUUCUGGGUAAUGUGAGAAGCCAUUAACCAAUUGAAAACAGAUCAACAUGCCAGUGGAAAACAAAAUAAAUCUUGGACACCACAUGUCAAUUAUAAGGAUUAAAAUGCAAGGGUGGAUUUUUCCUUUAAAGCCUUUUUUUACACUGCAAUUUCAGCAGUCUUAAGAUCAUUACUUGGCACACUGUAUGAGAAAGUCCCAAUAAAACCUUGGCCAAAUUCCAUAACAUAUUGUGCAGCGCAAGUUCUCUACGUGAUUAAAUGAUGAAGAUCUGCUAUAAUAGACAUACGACUAAAGACUAUAGUGCCCUCCACUAAUAUUGGCACCCUUGGUAAA